UAAAAGAUAAGCUAAAAAUUAAGCUAAUGGGUUCAUACCUCAUUUAUGGAAAAUUAUCCUCUUUUUA
rnacentral:tRNA from 3 species